UGGGGAAUAUUGGGCAAUGGACGCAAGUCUGACCCAGCAACGCCGCGUGAAGGAAGAAGGCUUUCGGGUUGUAAACUUCUUUUAAGGGGGAAGAGGAGAAGACGGUACCCCUUGAAUAAGCCACGGCUAACUACGUGCCAGCAGCCGCGGUAAUACGUAGGUGGCAAGCGUUGUCCGGAUUUACUGGGUGUAAAGGGCGUGUAGCCGGGCAGACAAGUCAGAUGUGAAAUCUGGAGGCUUAACCUCCAAACUGCAUUUGAAACUGCCUGUCUUGAGUGUCGGAGAGGUAAUCGGAAUUCCUAGUGUAGCGGUGAAAUGCGUAGAUAUUAGGAAGAACACCGGUGGCGAAGGCGGAUUACUGGACGAUAACUGACGGUGAGGCGCGAAAGCGUGGGGAGCAAACAGG
rnacentral:rRNA from 1 species